AGACCCGAAACCCGGUGAUCUAGCCAUGGGCAGGUUGAAGGUUGGGUAACACUAACUGGAGGACCGAACCGACUAAUGUUGAAAAAUUAGCGGAUGACCUGUGGCUGGGGGUGAAAGGCCAAUCAAACCGGGAGAUAGCUGGUUCUCCCCGAAAGCUAUUUAGGUAGCGCCUCGUGAAUUCAUCUCCGGGGGUAGAGCACUGUUUCGGCUAGGGGGCCAUCCCGGCUUACCAACCCGAUGCAAACUGCGAAUACCGGAGAAUGUUAUCACGGGAGACACACGGCGGGUGCUAACGUCCGUCGUGAAGAGGGAAACAACCCAGACCGCCAGCUAAGGUCCCAAAGUCAUGGUUAAGUGGGAAACGAUGUGGGAAGGCCCAGACAGCCAGGAUGUUGGCUUAGAAGCAGCCAUCAUUUAAAGAAAGCGUAAUAGCUCACUGGUCGAGUCGGCCUGCGCGGAAGAUGUAACGGGGCUAAACCAUGCACCGAAGCUGCGGCAGCGACACUGUGUGUUGUUGGGUAGGGGAGCGUUCUGUAAGCCUGUGAAGGUGGCCUGUGAGGGUUGCUGGAGGUAUCAGAAGUGCGAAUGCUGACAUAAGUAACGAUAAAGCGGGUGAAAAGCCCGCUCGCCGGAAGACCAAGGGUUCCUGUCCAACGUUAAUCGGGGCAGGGUGAGUCGACCCCUAAGGCGAGGCCGAAAGGCGUAGUCGAUGGGAAACGGGUUAAUAUUCCCGUACUUGGUGUUACUGCGAAGGGGGGACGGAGAAGGCUAUGUUGGCCGGGCGACGGUUGUCCCGGUUUAAGCGUGUAGGUGUGUGUUCCAGGUAAAUCCGGUUCACUUUAACACUGAGGCGUGACGACGAGGCACUACGGUGCUGAAGCAACAAAUGCCCUGCUUCCAGGAAAAGCCUCUAAGCAUCAGGUAACAUCAAAUCGUACCCCAAACCGACACAGGUGGUCAGGUAGAGAAUACCAAGGCGCUUGAGAGAACUCGGGUGAAGGAACUAGGCAAAAUGGUGCCGUAACU
rnacentral:rRNA from 3 species